AUGAGCCGACGAGCAAAACGGA
rnacentral:siRNA from 1 species